UACGUAGGGAGCGAGCGUUGUCCGAAGUUACUGGGCGUAAAGCGCGCGUAGGCGGGCUGUUAAGUGAGAGGUGAAAUUCCGGGGCUCAACCCAGGAACUGCCUCUCAUACUGUCAGUCUUGAGUGAGGUAGAGAGAAGUGGAAUGGCUGGUGUAGCGGUGAAAUGCGUAGAUAUCAGUCGGAACACCGGUGGCGAAGGCGGCUUCUUGGGCCUUUACUGACGCUGAGGCGCGAAAGCCAGGGUAGCGAACGGG
rnacentral:rRNA from 1 species